rnacentral:lncRNA from 1 species
AGGAGCCUUCCUUUUCCAUCUUCUGAGGAACCCCCCCCCGCCGCCGUGGUCCCUUUUAUUUUCCAGGUCUUUCCUGCCAGAUCCCUCUUUCGCCAGGGACGGCUCUGUCGUUGCCUUCCUCUCUCUAGCCUGCCGGGCUCAGCCUCCCUCUCCCCUUCCCCAUCCAGCCUGGACACCCCUCAACCUCCCUGGCCCUCCCUACCCCCAGCCUGCGCCACCCCCACCCCCACGCUUUGGCAAUUUUUUUUUUUUUUUUUGCUGCGAGCCUUGUUUACCCAGCAGGUGGAUGUGACGUCAGGGACGCACAACAGCAAAAAUAACAACAUCUCCUUCCGCGACGUGUCGGCCUCUCGCGCUCGCCUUAUUUAUUUAUUUGUUCCGGGAGGCCGGGGAGGGGGGGCCGGGCGGAAUGCGAACAGACUGAGUGGGCAGGAGAGCGGGGAGGGCUCGCGCGCCGGGGGUGCUGAGGGAGCUUGGGGGUGCUCGAGGCAGAGAGGGACCCCCGGCAGGAAGCCGGGGAACAGCCGCAGGGCGCCCCCAACGCGGCGCUGCCUGCGUCUGUGCCGCCGCCGCCGGCCGGGCUCCGGGAAGCUAGUCCCGAGCGGAGGAAUCUAUUGUUAUUUAUUGUGUGGCGGUUGCAUGCUGUACUCGCGGCGGCCCGGCCCUCGCCCGGAGUGCUGGUGUGCGCGCGUGUGUGCGCGAGUGAGUGUGUGCGCGGGGGUGCGCGCGCGGGCGGGAGUGGGCGCGCGCGGGGAAAGGCCCGAAAACACCUUAGUUUGCACCGAGAGACCAUUUGCAGCGGUGUUCCAGGAGCUUUCGCUGACAAACAUUCCAGUUUCCAAACGAAUCAUUUGGGCAAUGGUGAUCCCUUCUCCAGUCUGCUGUCGGCCAUGAAUGGAUGGAUGUGAUGCCUGCUAGCCGAAAGGUGUCCUUCUGUGUGUUGCAGUCCUGUGGCAUUAUGCAUGCCCCCUACCAGUGACCCCCAGGCUUUUUAUGGCUGUGAGCCGUGUUAAAAGUUCAAGGUAAGCUGCGAAUCCCACUAACGGUAUGCGUCACCUAAAAAUUGCCUUCUACCUCCACUGUAGUGCAUAUAACAGUUCCACAGAAGAUAGUGGACUCCCCCC